GGACAACUAGAUGAAAGAUUCAUGACAGAGUGCACCUGACCAGGGACAAGAUCAGUGUGAAGAACAAAGUGCAGCAGGAAACAUUGAUCCAACUACCUGAACCCGGAGCGGCGCAUUCCGCGGCCGCGGAGAUUGAUCGGAAUGAACCGUGUUGGC